UACGAAGGGGGCUAGCGUUGUUCGGAAUUACUGGGCGUAAAGGGCGCGUAGGCGGACAGUUUAGUCAGAGGUGAAAGCCCAGGGCUCAACCCUGGAAUUGCCUUUGAUACUGGCUGUCUUGGAGUACGGGAGAGGUGUGUGGAACUCCGGAGUGAUAGAGGUGAAAUUCGUAGAUAUUCGGAAGAACACCAGUGGCGAAGGCGACACACUGGCCCGUUACUGACGCUGAGGCGCGAAAGCGUGGGGAGCAAACAGG
rnacentral:rRNA from 1 species